CAGUCGCCACGGUAAUACGUAGGGUGCAAGCGUUAAUCGGAAUUACUGGGCGUAAAGCGUGCGCAGGCGGUUUGUUAAGACAGAUGUGAAAUCCCCGGGCUCAACCUGGGAACUGCACUUGUGACUGGCAAGCUAGAGUGUGGCAGAGGGGGGUGGAAUUCCGCGUGUAGCAGUGAAAUGCGUAGAUAUGCGGAGGAACACCGAUGGCGAAGGCAGCCCCCUGGGCCAACACUGACGCUCAUGCACGAAUGCGUGGGGAGCAAACAGGAUUAGAUACCCCUGUAGUCCCUGUCUCUUAUAC
rnacentral:rRNA from 1 species